GACGAACGCUGGCGGCGUGCCUAAUACAUGCAAGUCGAACGGUCUUUUCUAUGGAAGCUUGCUUCCACUGAGAAGAUAGUGGCGAACGGGUGAGUAACACGUGGGUAACCUGCCCAUAAGAGGGGGAUAACAUCCGGAGACGGGUGCUAAUACCGCAUAGGCUUCUUGAUCGCAUGAUCGAGAAAGGAAAGACGGCCUUUGUGCUGUCGCUUAUGGAUGGACCCGCGGCGUAUUAGUUAGUUGGUGAGGUAACGGCUCACCAAGACGAUGAUACGUAGCCGACCUGAGAGGGUGAUCGGCCACAUUGGGACUGAGACACGGCCCAAACUCCUACGGGAGGCAGCAGUAGGGAAUCUUCCGCAAUGGACGAAAGUCUGACGGAGCAACGCCGCGUGAGUGAAGAAGGUUUUCGGAUCGUAAAACUCUGUUGUCAGAGAAGAACAAGUCGGAGAGUAACUGCUCCGGCCUUGGCGGUAUCUGACCAGAAAGCCACGGCUAACUACGUGCCAGCAGCCGCAGUAACAC
rnacentral:rRNA from 1 species